rnacentral:ncRNA from 1 species
ACGCAGCUUUCUUAGGUAACUAAGGAAUGAUAACGAGGUGAAUUGUCUGGAAACCCUAACGGUUCAUGCCGAGGGCGAUCAGCAGCCAAGCUUUGUAAGGAAUUACAUUGAAGGUUCAGAGACUAUCCGCAAGGAGUACUGUUUAUACGAGAUAAAUGGGAAGCGCCUCGCACCCCACCCGAAAGGAGGGUGAUGAUAUAGUCCACGCCAUUACGAAAGUAUGG